GACCCGUUGUAAAUUUAUAAAUUUAUACGGUAGUCAUUAGGAAGUUACAGCCGGAUUUUACUCUUACUAGGGCUUGUUGAGUUUGGCCGGAUUUGAGGAAGAUUGCCGUGAACAUAUUGCUCAACAUGACCGUGAACAGAGCUAGCAAGGCAAGGCUGUGGAAUCAGCGUUGCUUAACAAAUCUGAUCGUUUGGGAUUAUUUUGUUCUUACUAAUAGCGUUGCUAUAUGGUUGGCUUAAAAACGACGUCGUCUGCAAUACUGUGGGUUCCUACGCUAUUGUUGAAAGGAAGUUGGCCGGAAUCCAGGAAAGAUCCGGCGGCGCUUCUUAUUGAGUGGGGUUGUUUUACAACGAAGCUUGUCAGAAUCUAACGAAGAAGAGCUAAGAUCAACCCGUUCCGAAUGAAGCAACGUUCGAAACCAUCGAGCAGAGGCUUUAGGAACCCUGUUAGGUUGUUCUUAUAGUCCACAUAGUAUAUCCCGAACCGGACAGUGUAACCAGAGUUCCACUCCCAGUUGUCUAGCAAUGACCACACGAAGUACCCUCUCACAUCACAACCAUCCUUCCUGCAAUACCCCAACCCAAUCAGUUUAUAACUUCAUUUUCUCAGGUUUGUAAAGUCUUAUUAUUACCUAAUGGCAGCUGAUAAGUUGGAGAGGUAGUCUCUGUGGAAGCUAAUCCUCUUGUCAUCUUGUAAUGCUUUCUCCAUGUCUUUGAAUGGGUUGUUCUUCUCAUCCAUACCGUUUUCUGUGAUGAAGAGGAGGGUUCCGUAGACGUCUUUGAGAUACACUGCUAGUUUCCUGAUUCCCCAUGGGACUAUGUGUAGCCAGCUUGAUCCUGCCUAAUGUCAUUGUCAAGUACUCCUCCUCGAAAUGCUACAACAAUUAGUGAGCAAACAAGAACAUCAGUAGUGAAGAUAUGAUCUGAGAGAUAGUGUGUGUGUGUAUG